GUCUAUGGCCAUAUCACCCUGAAUGUGCCCUAUCUCAUCUGAUCUCAGCAGCCAAGCAGGGUUGGGCCUGGUUAAUAAUUGGAUGGGAGAAAGUCUUUCUUUAGGUCACUUGGCCAUGAGUU
rnacentral:rRNA from 1 species